rnacentral:rRNA from 1 species
UGGGGAAUAUUGGACAAUGGGGGGAACCCUGAUCCAGCCAUGCCGCGUGUGUGAAGAAGGCCUUAUGGUUGUAAAGCACUUUAAGCGAGGAGGAGGGUACUGGUAUUAAUACUACCAGCUACUGGACGUUACUCGCAGAAUAAGCACCGGCUAACUCUGUGCCAGCAGCCGCGGUAAUACAGAGGGUGCGAGCGUUAAUCGGAUUUACUGGGCGUAAAGCGUGCGUAGGCGGCUAAUUGAGUCGGAUGUGAAAUCCCCGAGCUUAACUUGGGAAUUGCAUUCGAUACUGGUUAGCUAGAGUGUGGGAGAGGAUGGUAGAAUUCCAGGUGUAGCGGUGAAAUGCGUAGAGAGCUGGAGGAAUACCGAUGGCGAAGACAGCCAUCUGGCCUAACACUGACGCUGAGGUACGAAAGCAUGGGGAGCAAACAGG